GAUGAACGCUAGCGGCAGGCUUAAUACAUGCAAGUCGUGGGGCAGCAGGUUUGUAGCAAUACAGAUGCUGGCGACCGGCAAACGGGUGCGGAACACGUACAGAACCUUCCUUUGAGCGGGGAAUAGCCCAGAGAAAUUUGGAUUAAUACCCCAUAGUAUAAUGAAGUGGCAUCACUUUAUUAUUAAAGAUUUAUCACUCGAAGAUGGCUGUGCGGCUGAUUAGGUAGUUGGCGGGGUAAAGGCCCACCAAGCCUGCGAUCAGUGACUGGUGUGAGAGCACGACCAGUCACACGGGCACUGAGACACGGGCCCGACUCCUACGGGAGGCAGCAGUAAGGAAUAUUGGUCAAUGGAGGCAACUCUGAACCAGCCAUGCCGCGUGGAGGAUGAAGGUCCUCUGGAUUGUAAACUUCUUUUAUAUGGGACGAAAAAGGCUUUACUAAGUCGUCUGACGGUACCAUAUAGAAUAAGCACCGGCUAACUCCGUGCCAGCAGCCGAC
rnacentral:rRNA from 1 species